AUUCUUUUGGUGUGGGUGGAUCUAGCAUUUUUCGUUUUCUGGUCCAUUGGGUCCAGGUGUCCAGCUGCCUCAUCUUCAUGCCGCUUUGACUGAGCAGAGCCGAACAAAAUCCCACCGCUCCUCCCAUUGCUAAAGUUCUUGCCGCGUCUCAGGCUCCGCCGCUAUUACCCCACCUCCAAGCCCCAUCGCCACCUUGGAUUCCUUGGCCUGGGCUCCCUUCCUUUAGUCUUCACGGCUCACCGCGGGGAACUCCGGCCCGGGUCAUACACGGCGUCAAGCUCCCGAUCCUUGGCAAUAUGGGGAUGGGGGCCUGAAGUUCUCUGGGUGGCCGUGACCGCCGUGGGCGACGAAGGGGAUCAACAUGGCUGGUGCGGCCGUGAGCUCCCAGAUGGAGCGGCGCCGGCCGCUGCCUAUGAAUUUCACCGUCGGGGGAGAGCCGCCACAGCGGCUCCUUUUCUCCUCUCUUCCUCCCCACCGACCGCUGCCCGUCACGCUCGACUGCCGGCCGAUCUAAGUCCUACGCAGGCGCAUCGGCGGUAGUGAGGAGCCUUGGGACUACCCGGUAAUCCGGAGACCGGCGGGGACGGCGCGCCAGCUUUGAGGAAGGGGACGGCGUGAAGGGAUGCGCCCCCGGACCUCUACUGAUUCCGCCGCCGAGGCGCGAACACCCUGGCAGUCGAUGAUGCGGCCGCGGCCUCACCCUGCACCAGUCCUCCAGCGUGUGCGCGUAUACGCAGCCGACCCCAGCGGCGGCGACGGCGUGCACACGCGCCGGGUGCCGGCAGGGCGCGAGGCGAAGUCCCUCGGCACGAAGAUCGGUGGGCUCCCGACUAGACGGCCACCUGGAGGCAUUCAAUCGCUCAAAUCUAGCGCCCGAGAGAGGACUUGGGGAGGAUAAAAAGAGGUCGUUUCACAGCGUGGUCCAGCGCUGCAGUGUCGAGCAACAAUGCCCGUGGAUGCCAUGGUCAAGCGCUACGGUGGACGAGUACAUGUACGCAAUGGUUGAGCGACGCUGAUGGGAAUUGAUUGGGGAUUUUGACUGCUGCUCUGCUCCCGUUUUCGCCAGAGGCUGGAUGUUGCUCUAGGAUCUGCCGGCUGGGUCGGGCGGAUUUGCCGUCCGCCAGCGCUGCCGCUGCUCGGAGUUGUUGCUGUGAUGGGAACUGAAGGGUGUGGUGCAGAGUUGUUGGUGGCCGCUGGCUUUGUUUGAUUCGUCCAUGGUUCUGCGGACGUUUUUAUGCUUCAAUGAGUUGUGAUUUCCUGUGAUUCAAUCACUUGGUUAAUUUUUAGUUUGCUGAUUGCUCUUUCGCUGCUGUGGUUUAGCUUUUCGGCCGUGUUUGUUGGCAUAGAUCCUAACUGCUGCUGCAAUCUUUGCCAAAGUGCCGUACGUCUUGAUCUGGCCGAUACUUUUGGCUGAGAGCAACACACAGAGUACAAGCUUCCAGCGACUUGCUUUCUCGCUGAACCUGGACGCAAGCUAACUAACAUGAUGAUUGAUUAAUUGAUCUACUAGCAACACAUGCGAAUCAAUCUGGAUUGCUAGAGGCACAUGUCAUGUCCUUACUUCUUUCUAUUAUUUUCCAAUCGCACAGAUUACAGGGAGGUUACAUAUGUGUAUAAUUAACCUAGCUCUGAAUAACUAGGAUUAUAAUACUAAUUCAUAUUCCCUCCUUUUCCCACGCCAGCCCCUUCUUUGCCCCGUGCUCCUCUCUCCGUUUCUAACUAGAGUUCACUGAUGCUUGGUCUCUGACACGCAGGUCUGCGUGGCUUCCGAUGAUAUGCCAGGUCGCCCCGUGCUGCAACGCCUCCGGAUCGUUAUCUGUAAUGUUUGCAGAGAGGGGCUGAUACAGUUGGUCGGGUAGUUCUCAAGCCGAGGGGAUAAACCUUGGAAGGCUCUAUACCAAGGAAUCUGGAGUUUAUAGUACACAUGUACUUCCUCAUAAACCAAUUGUCGUCCACGUGGACGUCGUUGUCGAUAAUGAAAGCGACGGCGUCUUCGCGGAGGCGGUCAACGGGCACGGUUUUGUCAUCCGCGGUGAUAGUGUCGUAAGUCGAGUCCUUUGUCCUGAACUGGACAUGAAUGGGCGCCAGAGCUGCGGAUGGCCUAGAGUCGCUCUAGCUCGCCACCGCCUUGGUACCCCUGGUGUCCAAGCGAUGUCAGUGAAGGAUCAGCGUGUUGCUAGGUAGUAUUCUGUUAUGUAUAGCCAGAGGUCCACCAAAGAUACAUAAAAAGAUACAUAAGAUUGCACACUAGAAGGUAUAAUCAUACCUUCUAUAUUUCUUACUUACGCUAAUUAUUUCAGUUAAGAUUUUGACCAGAUAUAAAGUACCUGCCAGCAGCAUAGCUGCACAUGCUGAUGUAGAAUCAAAUUUGCAGAGCUUUCAUUGGCAUUGUAGAAGACGAUACAUUGUUCUUUGACUAUAUUGCUGGUUCAACGCUCAAAGUGACCAUCUUCAGGUACAAUGGAUGCGAGAAGAUCUAGGACCACUGUACUUAGAGAUCAACGUGAAAUAACCUUUUGUUCAUCGGUAUAGCUAUCCAUGCUAUCGCUUAUAUAUAAUAAUAGUUCUUCUCUCUUACUCUCUGAGAUUACCAAUUGAUCAUCCAUUGUAGAAUGAUGAUCAAUAUACAGUACCAAGUAUUAUUACUAGACUAAAUUAUUACUAGACUAAA